UACGAAGGGUGCAAACGUUGCUCGGAAUUAUUGGGCGUAAAGCGCACGUAGGCGGCUUGGCAAGUCGGGUGUGAAAUCCCUCGGCUCAACCAAGGAAGUGCAUCCGAAACUGCCGAGCUUGAGUACUUAAGAGGAUCGCGGAAUUCCCGGUGUAGAGGUGAAAUGCGUAGAUAUGCGGAGGAACACCGAUGGCGAAGGCAAUCCCCUGGACCUGUACUGACGCUCAUGCACGAAAGCGUGGGGAGCAAACAGG
rnacentral:rRNA from 1 species